rnacentral:rRNA from 1 species
UACGUAGGGGGCAAGCGUUGUCCGGAAUCAUUGGGCGUAAAGAGCGUGUAGGCGGCUAGAUAGGUCCGUUGUGAAAACUCGAGGCUCAACCUCGAGACGUCGAUGGAAACCAUCUGGCUAGAGUCCGGAAGAGGAGAGUGGAAUUCCUGGUGUAGCGGUGAAAUGCGCAGAUAUCAGGAAGAACACCCGUGGCGAAGGCGGCUCUCUGGUACGUGACUGACGCUGAGACGCGAAAGCGUGGGGAGCAAACAGG